UUAAAAGGUUGUAUUUUUAUAGUAUUAAUCAACCCUAAUUUUACUUGUCAAAAAAAAAAUCUGUGUUCCAUUAAACGUGCUGGUGAUAGGUGCUUGUAAAAAAUAGGUGCGGUUUUUAGGGCGAAGGACAUUUGUCCCAGUUUGGAGGAAAUGUUACUCCACACUUUCAUUCAAGACGCGCUGCCUUGCAAUCUGUUCCUAGCUCAUAAAGGCAGGUCUUAAGAUGUACUACACCGCGCAACUCAUAUAAAUAGUAUCUACUCAGGACCUGCUGGCGGUCUAUUUCGCCAACAAGGCCUACAAAGUCUUGUGCAAACUUCGAAUGGCAACGCUUCAGGAUGGGAGAUCUGAGCAGUGCCGCCGUUCCUUUGAGAUGGCUCUGGAGCCAACAGUCGAUGUCAGAAUGCCCUACUUGGAAGGGUCAUUCUGAUACUGAAUCAACGCGACCCACGUCUCUAUAGGGAGGGUUUAAGUCUUCUCAAUGCGGCCUAUAAGCUUGAUGAACCCCAUCCAGUAGUUUUAAGUAUUCUUGCGACCUGCCACUAUUUCAUUGGAGAUCUGGUGAUCUGGUCUUUAAUCUGGCUCAAAUUCGCAUUGGCUUCAUCGAAAUUGCGCAGCUGCAACCGCAUAGUUGCUGUAAGGUGGCCAGAGUCACCAUGCAAGUGAGGAAUUCGACUUCGCCAGGACAUACUAUCAGGAUUCGGUAAGUUUCGCACUUGAAAGCUUCCACGAGGCUAAAGAGACGAAAAUUCGGCGGCUAUGAAGUUGUAGUGCCCUACAAGUCCAUUAUCGCCGAAUAUCUGAGCUAUUAUGACUGCCUGAUAUCCAGCUCACAGACAACAAUAACAUUGCAGCCAGGACCUAUUUGGGAAGCUGAAGCUUACCAAAAAGUCCUUCUCUAUCUUCGAUGUGAUCCUGGGUAGCUCGGGAAGUACGCCCAGAUGGCUUCAUCUAAGAACAAGACAGAAAAGCGCGACAUCAGGAAAAUGCCUUGAACUCAAGGAUUCUCCAGCGCAGUCCUGAGCAGUUGCAUCGAUCUGGCCUUGAUCAUUAAUGAGGAAGCCAAGCAAAUCCCAGCCCAUCCAAAACCCGAAUGGGAUGAGCCCAAGACCCCAAUGUUUCAAGACUAGACUGCCAGACUACUUUGAGGCCAUGUCCUUAUCCAUUACCCCGUCCCUCAAGUGGAUUUGGUCCAGCCCUAUUUGGGACAGAACUUAGCCUUCAGGUGCGGAACUCACUGGAUUCUGAUAGCAUGUCUUGGCGAAGUCGAAUUCAACACUUCCAUGGUGACU